AGUCUGGCCUGCCCAUUGGGAACUGAAAGGCCGCGGUAUUAUGACCGUGCGAAGGUAGCAUAAUCAUUAGUCUUUUAAUUGAGGGCUGGAAUGAAGGGUUGGACGAGAAAUAAGCUGUCUUUACCUUAAGAAUUGAAUUUAACUUUUAAGUGAGAGGGCUUAAAUGGAUUGAAGGGACGAUAAGACCCUAUAAAGUUUAUACACCGAACUAAUUAAAGAUAAUUAAGAAAGGUAAAGUUUAUUAUUAGAGAGGUAUUUAGUUGGGGCGACUAGGAUAUAAAUUAAUUUAACUGUUUUAAAUUAAAGUCAAAAAUAUUUGAGUUUGUGAUCCUUUUUUAGGAUUAGAGAAUAAGUUACUUUAGGGAUAACAGCGUAAUUUUUUUUGAGAGUUCUUAUCGACAAAAGAGUUUGCGACCUCGAUGUUGAAUUAAAAGUUUCUUUGUAGUGCAGCAAUUACAAGAGAAGGUCUGUUCGACCUUUAAAUUUUUACAUGAUUUGAGUUCAGACCGGCGAAAGCCAGGUUGGUUUU
rnacentral:rRNA from 1 species